UUUUUACCAUGUCCGUCUGUCUGAAGGCUCCAUGUUUCUCACACCUGAUUAAUUCAGCUUUGGAGCGGCCGGCCAAACACAGGGACCAAUACAUAUAGCUCUAUGCAUCUGCAGGUUUGUGUCGAUGUUCAGCGAUUGGCUGUGCUGCUCUGAACACAUCUGAGCUGGUUUGGCUGUCUAUUCUUCAUCCACACAUCUGGCCAAUGAACAAGCGUCCUGGACUGAAUGUGAGAACACCAGGCUGCUGUCUUUCCCAGCCUCCUGGCCCUGGAGACCGGCGUGGACACUCCUAAUGUGGGAAUAUCCAGGAGGGGAUAGAGGAGACAAUCCAAGUCAGCCGGGUCACGGAAUUACCUUUUAUUUCCACUUGUAGCCUCAGCGCAUUUAAUCGACCCGCUGACGUCGCUGAAGAGGAAUGAGUUCAUGGAGGUUCUCGACUGAAGCUGUGAUUUGCCGUGCCAGAUGCCAAUUCCACCAAAGAAUGAGUCAGUUGAUGUAAACG